CGGCUGUGGAAAAAUGCGGAACCUUUCUCGCACCGCUAGUACACUGCCGGACCCUUUAGCCGCGCGCAGCGCGCACACGUCCUGUAUUUGAAUUAAACGGCUCAAGCAUGCCCUGAAUGCCUGUUACCACCUGACGCUUCGACCGGCACCUGCGGCUAAGUGAAGAAACCCAAAACAGAAAGAGGAAAAAAUAAUGAAGAGGAAGAAGGCAGACAGAGCGUCCUUCUUCAGGGCAAGUGGAAAGAAGUCAGCUAAGGCAAAGAAUGAGGGUGAGAUGGAGAAAAAACAGGCAGAGAGCGAGGAUGAGGAGCCCCCAGAGAGCAGCAACUUAAAUGGACCUCCAGAUUGAUCGAGAGCAGGACAGAAGAGUCCUCCCUGAGGAGUGGCCCCAGUGGAUCCCCAGAUUCAGACAGCGAGAGAGAGGAGCCUCCAACAACGAGUCGCGGCCCAAGGUACCUCCAGACAUUUCCAAAUCAAGAACCGAUAGAUCUUUAAGGACAGUCUUUGAAGUGUUCAGUUUUAAUGAGAUGUCACUGUUUGGAUUCUCUGUCUGAUAUGUGUAAAUGUGGCUCAAACUUGAAUCUAAUCUUGCAGAGUCCGCCUAAUACCCAUUGUGAAUAUGAUGUUUGUUAUUAUGUGUUUGAUAGAUGUUUAUGAAUCGAAUUGAAGAAAAAUUGACACUGCUUAUUUAAACAGGCUGUUAAUGCUUGUCAUAUCAUUUGUUGGAAUUCAGCAAAUUGUAUUCAGGAUGUUAUUUUAUUUAUUUUCAUAUUUCUAUACAUUAGCUCAGUAUUUUAUACUUUUUGUUAUUUGAAGAUAAAUCCAUAUUGUGAUCAGACUUGAUUAAAAAAACAUUGCACUUCUAAUUUUGUAUCCUUGUUUUGUAUUCCUGAUGAUACACUGAGAGAAUUGACUUGGCUUGUCGCCAUAAACUGAGGACAUCUCUACUAUAAAAUAGAAUACCUUGCUGUCAAUGCAUAUCUGUACAACCAUUGUUCGACUCAGUCGUACAAUACAAAUAAAAACACAAAUAGCAA
ensembl:lncRNA